UUACGGCCAUAUCAUGGGGAAACACCAGUUCUUAUAUGAUCACUAAUGUUAAACAACACCAAACUGGGUCAGCACUUAAGUGGGUGACUCCUUGGGAAUACCAGGUGUUGUAAG